rnacentral:rRNA from 1 species
AGAGUUUGAUCCUGGCUCAGGGUUAACGCUGGCGGUGCGCAUAACACAUGCAAGUCGAGCGAGGGCUUAUUUCCCCCAAGGGAGAUGAGUUCCUAGCGGCGAACGGGUGAGUAACACGUGGGCAACCUUUCCCAUCGCGGGGGAUAACAGCGGGAAACCGCUGCUAAUACCGCAUGUCGUCACCGGUCGCAUGGCCGGUGAAGAAAGCAGCAAUGCACGAUGGGAUGGGCCCGCGGCCUAUCAGCUAGUCGGUGGGGUAACGGCCUACCGAGGCGAUGACGGGUAGCUGGUCUGAGAGGACGACCAGCCACACGGGGACUGAGACACGGCCCCGACUCCUACGGGAGGCAGCAGUGAGGAAUCUUCCGCAAUGGGCGAAAGCCUGACGGAGCGACACCGCGUGUGGGAUGAAGUCUUUCGGGAUGUAAACCACUGUUGGAGGGGAAGACAUCGACGGUACCCUCCGAGAAAGCCCCGGCUAACUACGUGCCAGCCGCCGCGGUAAUAC